rnacentral:rRNA from 1 species
UACGUAGGGCGCAAGCGUUAUCCGGAAUUAUUGGGCGUAAAGAGCUCGUAGGCGGUCUGUCGCGUCUGCUGUGAAGACUCGGGGCUUAACCCCGGGCCUGCAGUGGGUACGGGCAGACUAGAGUGCGGUAGGGGAGACUGGAAUUCCUGGUGUAGCGGUGAAAUGCGCAGAUAUCAGGAGGAACACCGGUGGCGAAGGCGGGUCUCUGGGCCGUAACUGACGCUGAGGAGCGAAAGCGUGGGGAGCGAACAGG